rnacentral:lncRNA from 1 species
UUUCAUCUCUAACCCCUAAGCUAGGCCACUUUGGGGUACCGCUAUCUCUGGUCUCGGUGGUAAGGCGCUAUCUACGGAGCUACGCCCUCUCCUUGCGCCGCCGCGCCGCUCACGUGCGAACCUGUAACCCCCAAAACCACACGGGGGUGAGAACUAUAUAAAUAUAGUUCCCAGUGGGUACGGCCACCCAAGGGAAGAGCUCGACCCACCAGGUCCGAAGGAGGCAAGCUGCAGGUUAGUUCAAUAAACAGAUAGAUAUGAUAGUAAAAUUAUGCAACUAACAAUACCAUGCAUUGCCUCGCGAUAUGCAAUAAUGCAACUAUAUAGCCAACUAGUAGUUCAAUUGAUACUACUUUCAAUCCUGCUAUCCAUAGCUCAUCCAAUUGACUUCUAAGUUUUCCUCUAUCUUAGAUUCAUGUCAAUUACCAUUCUAAUCAUAAGGUUUCAUUGACCUUUACUGUUUGCUCACAAGGUUUUUAUCUACCUUUACAAUGCACAUAAUUCUCAUGAAUUUAUUACCCAAUCCUCUAGCUGGCCCAUAGGCGCGCCCUCAACUCACAUCUCAAAUCCGUCUAUGGAAGGGGACUCGAACCCCCGAGGGACCGUCUGCGGGACCCCAUAUAGGCUAUCCCUUGGGACCCCAAAUAGGCUAUCCCAAUCGUUUCACGUGCCAAGACUCCGGAGCUCGCACUACUUGUGCGGGGCGACCGCCACAAGCGCUGAACAGACUGUGUGAGUAUGAUCAAAUCCGUUUCCAACGAAGGUACCCGGUCACUAUGACCAACAUGCACAAGUGUUCUUUUAACACUACGUUCUAAUGCCACUCGUCAAGUUGUUUACUUGGUAUACAUAUGCCACUCGUCAAGUAUGUACUUGGUUCACAUGUCACUUGCCAUAAUGCAAUUGUCCCGACUAUACUAGUCAUAUAUCAUCAUAUUCAUCAAUACAAGAUCAAGUUAUUGUUUAACUUAUCUCUAUAGGGUUCUAUGUCACCAUUCCUCUAUUCUCAUGCGUCCUAACUCAAGUGCCAACUCAUGUUGCUACACUACUAUGGAUCAUGCAAGAAUAGAAAUGCGACUAUCUAAUACCCUAUCAUGUAUAUGUAUCAACUAGCAUCUCAUGAUAUGUCAACAUCAUUUAGUAUAUGCCUCAUGUCAUCAUGCAUUUACAUUAUAUGCAUCAAGAAGUGUUAUACUUUCGCUUCGACAUGGAAGUGAGCUAAUAACUUCGGUGAGCACAACCCACCUGUUAGCGCAUUCCGAUUGCUUGUCGACACUUGCAAUCGGCCUCCCGCAGCAUCCGGUGCCCGGUUCUGCCGGAACUUGCAAUUGCGCACCGACCGCGCAUCGCUUCGCAACCUCGGGCAAAAAGGGUCUUCGUUUUGUUGUUACGGUGCCUCAAAUCAGAUUCCAUGAUUUUACGACGUCGCCUCGGCCCUCCCGGCGGACCCGAAGCCUAAACGUCCGUUUCUUUAAUAACUUCGCACCGGCUCCACGAAUCGCCGAACCGUCUUCGCCAACGCGUUCGUUUACCUAUCAAUUAGGUUUACGAAGGGUCAAAUUAGAUCAAACCCCACCUAAUUUGCAAACCCCCAUUUUCACACCUUAGCCUCAACAUAUGCUCCAAACAAUCCAAAUAUUAAGGAUUUAACAAGCUAACUUCACAUUAGAGGCUAUUAGAACCCUUAAAGCUAAGGAUUAAGCCAAAUCCCAAAAGCUUACCCCAAUGUGAACGCCGCAACGAAAACACGUCGCUCCAACGGGCGCACGAAAGCUCAAUCCGUCGCCUCCAACGCGUUCGCAAGCUCGAUCUCCACCAACGCCGCGAAUUUGGGCGAAAGAUCUAGAGAGAUGAGAGAGAUAUUUAGAGAGAGAAAGAGAGGGUUUCUCUCUCCUUCACCAUGAACGCAUGGUAGUGGUGAUGGUGGUCGGCUGAUGGAGAGGGAGAAG